rnacentral:piRNA from 2 species
UGUGAAGAUGGAAGAACGCCCAC